rnacentral:rRNA from 1 species
AGAGUUUGAUCCUGGCUCAGGAUGAACGCUGGCGGCGUGCCUAAUACAUGCAAGUCGAGCGAACGGACGAGAAGCUUGCUUCUCUGAUGUUAGCGGCGGACGGGUGAGUAACACGUGGAUAACCUACCUAUAAGACUGGGAUAACUUCGGGAAACCGGAGCUAAUACCGGAUAAUAUUUUGAACCGCAUGGUUCAAAAGUGAAAGACGGUCUUGCUGUCACUUAUAGAUGGAUCCGCGCUGCAUUAGCUAGUUGGUAAGGUAACGGCUUACCAAGGCAACGAUGCAUAGCCGACCUGAGAGGGUGAUCGGCCACACUGGAACUGAGACACGGUCCAGACUCCUACGGGAGGCAGCAGUAGGGAAUCUUCCGCAAUGGGCGAAAGCCUGACGGAGCAACGCCGCGUGAGUGAUGAAGGUCUUCGGAUCGUAAAACUCUGUUAUUAGGGAAGAACAUAUGUGUAAGUAACUGUGCACAUCUUGACGGUACCUAAUCAGAAAGCCACGGCUAACUACGUGCCAGCAGCCGCGGUAAUACGUAGGUGGCAAGCGUUAUCCGGAAUUAUUGGGCGUAAAGCGCGCGUAGGCGGUUUUUUAAGUCUGAUGUGAAAGCCCACGGCUCAACCGUGGAGGGUCAUUGGAAACUGGAAAACUUGAGUGCAGAAGAGGAAAGUGGAAUUCCAUGUGUAGCGGUGAAAUGCGCAGAGAUAUGGAGGAACACCAGUGGCGAAGGCGACUUUCUGGUCUGUAACUGACGCUGAUGUGCGAAAGCGUGGGGAUCAAACAGGAUUAGAUACCCUGGUAGUCCACGCCGUAAACGAUGAGUGCUAAGUGUUAGGGGGUUUCCGCCCCUUAGUGCUGCAGCUAACGCAUUAAGCACUCCGCCUGGGGAGUACGACCGCAAGGUUGAAACUCAAAGGAAUUGACGGGGACCCGCACAAGCGGUGGAGCAUGUGGUUUAAUUCGAAGCAACGCGAAGAACCUUACCAAAUCUUGACAUCCUUUGACAACUCUA